CUGUCUGGCUAAUCAUAAAAAUUACUCUCCAAAGAAUAUACUGGAAACAUCUGGAUGUGGGGUUAUAAUUAAAAAUGAAAGCAAAACAGCACCCUUAAAAGAAGUGGAACUCUUAAUUCAAAUCUACCAGAUAGUUGACAAUGAAAGUGAAAAUGCUGGCAUAUAUAUAGCUAUUGGAAAAUCUUGAGAUUUGGACUGUAUCACUUGACCAUCUGG
rfam:Loxodonta africana cont3.72872, whole genome shotgun sequence.